AGAAUUUGAUCCUGGUUCAGAUUGAACGCUGGCGGCGUGGAUGAGGCAUGCAAGUCGCACGAGUGAAGCUGAAACCUUCGGGUUUUAGUGAAUCUAGUGGCGGAAGGGUUAGUAAUACAUGGAUAACCUACACCUAACUUGGGAAUAACAGUUGGAAACGACUGCUAAUACCGAAUGUGGUAAUCGAAUGGCAUCAUUUGAUUAUUAAAGCAGGGGACCUUCGGGCCUUGCGGUUAAGGAAGGGUUCAUGUGAUAUCAGCUUGUUGGUGAGGUAAUGGCUCACCAAGGCUAAGACGUCUAGGCGGAUUGAGAGAUUGACCGCCAACACUGGGACUGAGACACUGCCCAGACUCCUACGGGAGGCUGCAGUCGAGAAUCAUUCGCAAUGGGCGAAAGCCUGACGAUGCGACGCCGCGUGAGUGAAGAAGGCCUUCGGGUUGUAAAGCUCUUUCGCAUGGGAAUAAGAGAAGUUGGCCAAUAACCAGCUAAUUUGAUGGUACCUUGUAAAGAAGCACCGGCUAACUCCGUGCCAGCAGCUGCGGUAAUACGGAGGGUGCAAGCGUUAAUCGGAUUUAUUGGGCGUAAAGGGCGCGUAGGCGGGAAUGAAAGUCAGAUGUGAAAUUCCGGGGCUCAACCUCGGAGCUGCAUUUGAAACUUCAUUUCUAGAGGAUAGGCGGAGAAAACGGAAUUCCACAAGUAGCGGUGAAAUGCGUAGAUAUGUGGAAGAACACCCGUGGCGAAAGCGGUUUUCUAGCUUAUUCCUGACGCUGAGGCGCGAAAGCAAGGGGAGCAAACAGGAUUAGAUACCCUGGUAGUCCUUGCCGUAAACGAUGUAUACUUGGUGUAGCUGGACUCAACCCUAGCUGUGCCGGAGCAAACGCGUUAAGUAUACCGCCUGGGGAGUACGCUCGCAAGGGUGAAACUCAAAAGAAUUGACGGGGACCCGCACAAGCGGUGGAGCAUGUGGUUUAAUUCGAUGCAACGCGAAGAACCUUACCUGGGCUUGACAUGUAGUGGACAACUCUAGAGAUAGAGCUUUCCUUCGGGACCGCUACACAGGUGCUGCAUGGCUGUCGUCAGCUCGUGCCGUGAGGUGUUGGGUUAAGUCCCGCAACGAGCGCAACCCUUAUCGUUAGUUGCCAACAGGUAAUGCUGGGAACUCUAACGAGACUGCCUGGGUUAACCAGGAGGAAGGUGAGGAUGACGUCAAGUCAGCAUGGCCCUUAUGUCCAGGGCUACACACGUGCUACAAUGGUCGGUACAGAAGGCAGCGAAGCAGAAAUGUGGAGCAAAUCCUAGAAAGCCGGCCCCAGUUCGGAUUGUAGUCUGCAACUCGACUACAUGAAGUCGGAAUCGCUAGUAAUGGCGUGUCAGCAAUAACGCCGUGAAUACGUUCCCGGGUCUUGUACACACCGCCCGUCACAUCAUGGGAGUUGGUUUCACCCGAAGCCGCCGACUUAACCGCAAGGAGAGAGGCGUCUAAGGUGAGGCUGAUGACUGGGAUGAAGUCGGAACAAGGUA
rnacentral:rRNA from 1 species